AGGUGAGUAGAACUAAACUUAAUCUUUUUAUUUAAAGAUACAGAUUGCUUGUUAGCAUAGUUCAUGCAUCAUGGAUGCUAUGUUUUAUAUAGGGUGAUUGCAUUAGAAUCACAAAGUUGAUGCAUUGCAUUAUUCAUUGAUAGUGAGGAUUGGACCAAGGCGACAUCAAUAGCCCGUCGAGGGAGUUUUGAGGUCAUGUCUAAUCCAAGAUG
rnacentral:lncRNA from 1 species